rnacentral:rRNA from 1 species
UACCAGCACCCCGAGUGGUCGGGACGAUUAUUGGGCCUAAAGCAUCCGUAGCCGGUUCUGCAAGUCUUCCGUUAAAUCCACCUGCUCAACAGUUGGGCUGCGGAGGAUACUAUAGAGCUAGGAGGCGGGAGAGGCAAGCGGUACUUAGUGGGUAGGGGUAAAAUCCGUUGAUCCACUGAAGACCACCAGUGGCGAAGGCGGCUUGCCAGAACGCGCUCGACGGUGAGGGAUGAAAGCUGGGGGAGCAAACCGGAUUAGAAACCCCCGUAGUCC